AGAAAAAACACCUCUGAUCGCUCUGGAAGGAAAUAAAAAAAGGCACCGAAAGCGGUGACGAGGUCGCAACUGGCGGAAGCGGCGACAAGGUCAGAUCCCCCGACGGAAGCGGCGGCGACCCGGCGACCGUACGCCGACCACCUCGCUCUCAGACCCUCCUUCCUCAUCGAGUUCGACGAGAUCAGCGCCGGCCCCAUCCAGAUGGUCCAUCAGCUUAACUCAUUUGAGCUGCCGGGCAGCCGUGUGCAAUCACAAGGAUUUCUUCACAUGGAUGUUCAUCGUGCCCGCGGCUGUGUGCAGUCACAAGGACUUGGUGCUAUUGAUGACGAUCGUGCUCGCAGUUGUGGGCAAUCACAAGGACUUGGUGAUAUUGAUGACAAUCACGGGGCUGUUGAGUAUCCUCGUGAUAUAGGUAUGACGAAGAGGGCUAAGUGGACUCAUCAAAUGAAGUUGUUUCUUAUUGACUUGCUGAAAGAGCAUGAUGUUCCUGGUUUUCGAACACAAAAUGCAUGGAGCAAAGAGGCCUGGACAAACAUUGUUAAUCGACUAAAUCAAGCAUUUUGUGUAUCAUUUAGUGUUGUUCAAGUCAAACAAAAGGAGCAAGAUAUAAAGAAGGAAUAUCGAAGUGUGAAAGAAUUGUUGGCAGAAAGUGGGUUUGGAUGGGACAAGGAUAGAAUGAUGGUAGAAGCACCAGCAAGUGUUUGGGCUAGUUUUGUUGCUCGCAAGAAUAGUAAGGAGGCCCUCCAAUGGCGAGACAAGUCGUUUCCAUACUUUAAUGAUUUGGCUUCUCUCUAUGAUGGUCGUUACGCCGAAGGAAGAUCUCGUCAUGGUAUGGAUUAUUAUGCUAACAAGGCAAAAAAUGCAUCUGCUCCAUCAUCGCACCCAACACAUUCGAAUGAUACAUAUGAAUCAUCUUCACCUCCAACAGUAGCUCUAGAUGAGCCAGGUUUGCAAUUUCCUUUGGAAGAAGAGGUUGAGGGAGCAAAUCUUGAUUCUGUCCAGCAUACAUCAACACCGAAUGAACAAAUGUAUACCCAAUCAAUACCCCCAAAAGCACCCACCGAGAAGCCUGAGAGUAGACGUAGAAAAAGACAGAAGCAAAAUCCUACAAGCUCUGCAGAUGGAUUCCAUGAAAGAUACCUUAGGCUCAAGAUGGAAGAAAUAAAUCGAUUUGCAGCCAUUGAGGAGAAGAAACUAGAGGAUCCAUUUAGCAUUCACAAGUGCAUCACAACGAUUGAAGGAUUGGAUGGUCUACAAUUGGGCGAUGUGUUGUUGGCAUCAGACAUCUUCAAAACUAGGGAAAACAGGGAGAUUUUCCUGUCUUUCUCUAGUGAUGAACGACGGUUGGCUUGGAUUAAAAGGGAGAUUGCUCGUACCAACGAAAACUAAGGAAAACAUGGAGAUGAUACCUAGUACCACGGUAUGGAGCAAGAAAUUGGGGUGUGUUUGCAUAACCAGCAUCAACAAGCAAGGGGAAGAUGAAAGCAUAGAGCACAGGCAGCAAGGGGAAGAUGAAAGAAUAGAGCACAGGCAGCAAAUGCUGUGGGCAGGGAAAAGAGCUAUCCGUUGUAGAGAGUAGCAUCAGGUUAUAUAGGCACUUGCUGCUAACGGCUACUUCAGGCAGUUGACUGCACUAGCCGUUGGAAGUUUGAAAAACAUCAGACUUACAAAUAGAAAUAAUAAUACUUUAUUGUAUAGGAUUCCUGUACGUCUCCUAUGAUGCAGCCAAAGGCACUUUGUUACCAGUUCCUCUGGAUUUGCAUUCCAUAGGAUUGGCUAUGUCAUGGCAGUCAAAUCCUCCAUUUUUCCUAUUCCUUUGUUUUGCAAAUCCUGUGAUCCAAAGAA